AAAGCGUCGCGCAUCUAUGGCAACCAAAUACAGAAACCGCAAACAAUGGUCCAUCCCAUGUUUUUAUUUUCUUACUGUAAGACCUAGCUCACAGUAACGUUAGCUAGUUAGCUUUCUAUAAUUGUUUAGCUUUUCAUAUUACAUGUUCAUUUUAUUUUAAUCGACAAUGGGGAGGGAUUAUUAUGCAGCAUUGGAGAUAAAUAGAAAUGCGACAGAUGCAGACAUAAAAAAAUCAUACCGACGACUUGCCUUGAAGUACCAUCCUCACACAAACAGCAAACCGGGUGCCUAUGAAAAAUUCAAUCAACUUGCCGAGGCCUAUGAUGUUUUGAGUGACCCUCGAAAAAAGGCAACCUAUGACAAGUUUGGAGAAGAGGGUCUGAAAGGAGGUAUCCCACUUCAGUCUGGGGAGACUGGAGCUUGGACAUCAGGAUACAUCUACCAUGGAAACCCAGACAAGAUAUUCAGGCAGUUUUUUGGAGGUGACAACCCAUUCGCAGACUUCCACAUGAAAGAUGGGAAUGAAGUGGCCAUUGGGUUUGGAGGCCUGCGAGGAAGAGGAGUGAAAACACAAGACUCCCCCAUUGAAAGGGACCUUCACUUGGCCUUGGAAGACCUCUUCUAUGGAUGUACCAAAAAGAUCAAAAUAUCUCGUAGGGUCAUGAAUGAAGAUAGACACACAUCCAGUAUCAAGGACAAAAUAUUGACUAUCAUUGUAAAACCAGGAUGGAAUGAAGACACUAGGAUAACAUUCCCAAAGGAGGGUGAUCAGGGACCCAACAGUAUUCCUGCAGAUAUUGUGUUCAUUGUGCGGCAGAAGAGUCAUCCCCGGUUUGCAAGGCAACACAAUGACCUGGUCUUUACGGCCCAGAUCUCUCUGGAGAAGGCUUUGACUGGAUUCGCUGUUGAAGUGAAGACACUAGAUGACAGGAUACUCAAUAUCCCCAUCAAUGACAUUGUGCAGUACCUCCAGCGCUCCCUCCUGCCUCAUGUUCGGCCUGUCCCUGGUAAUCUACCCCAGGCUUUUGUCUUUGCCCCGGUGUGGCACAGACCAACAGAAGAGGGGGAUGUCCUUCCUGCCUCCAAAGCAUGUCUCGGAAAGUGCUGAGAUUAUUAUGAUUUUUUAAUAAUAAAUUACAAGCUUGUAAAUGGUAAUUUUAAUAUUUGCUCAUGUUGGUAGUUUAACUCGGUCUUUCCCUUAAAUGCAGCUGGUGAUUCCAGAGACCUGGCGGGCAACUCUUAACAAGAAGCACCAGCAGUGGAUUGACCUGACGCUGUUUACCCAAGUUGAACUCUGAGUUGACCAAAGUCACCUUGCUAACUCCUCAAACCUGAUGACUCCAAAAACAGAUUUUCACCAACUCAAAUUGAAUUGACAUUGUUAAGUUUCAUGAUGCUUCUAUCUAAAGUCACCAUGUCCUAGAGAGAUUUACAUGGUUAUCAAAACUUCACAAUGCUUAAAAGAUGCUUAAAAUUAUUAAAAUACACAAAAUUGAUGGUUGUUGUGUUGAAUUGUGUUAGGGAAAUAUUUCUAUCAAUACAGAAAUGAGUAGGCGGCUUAACUUACCCUGUCCCGUGGCCAGAGAUCACAUUUUCUGGACAAGCUAUGUUUUCAAAACAGUAACUUUUACAUGAAUUCUGAUUAUUUCCAGGGAUACACAUCAUCCUGAAAUAUGUGUGGAUAUCUUUGCUAGAAAGAAUACUGUAUUUUCCUUGACCCAGUGAUGCUGAAUGUAAGACAUGGCUCAACUUACCCCACUCUCCCUACCCUACCCUGUCCCUAUGCUCAAUUUACUCCAUAUCUGAUCUGGGAUAAAUUGUGCCAAGAGACCACUUUUUUUGGACAUGCUCUGUUUUCAAAACAGUUGUUGUUUAUAUGAAUUCUGAUUAUUUCCAGUGAUACACAACAUCCUGAAAUAUAUGUAAGUAUCUUUCUUAGUUAAAAUACUAUAUCUCCCUUGAUGUACUGAUGCUGAAUAUAAAACAUGUCUCAACAUACCCUACAUACAGUAUGCGUGUGGUACAUUGAGAAAAAAGUGAUGUGACGCCCCUCCCUGCUCUGUCUACUGGGCUUUGCUGCGCUUACUUCCUGCAGGAGAUUGGUGGGCGGAGUAGAGUCGUCAGUGCUGAUGGGGCACACCUGUGAAAGCUCAGCUGUGGCAUAAAGCAACUACUUCCCCAUUCAGCCAGAGAUUUCUCUCUCCGUGCAUAGUGUUUGUUGUUUUGUUGUGGCUUUGGCAGUUGAUGUGUAAUUUACUGACCUUCAUAUCUCAUCUGAUUAUUGUUUUUUCUGUAAUCAACACCAAGGUCUUGCUCCCGGACAAGCUAAACACCUUCUUCGCCCAUUUUGAGGAAAACACAGUGCCACCGACGUGGGCCCCUCCCGAGGACUGUGGGCUCUCGUUCAUCAUGGCCGACGUAAGAUAUUUAAGCUUGUUAACCCACGCAACGCUGCCGAUGCAAUUGCCAUUGCAUUGCACACUAACCUAUCCCAUCUGGACAAGAGGAAUACCUAUGUAAGAAUGUUGUUCAUUGACUACAGCUCAGCCUUCAACACCAUAGUACCCUCCAAGCUCAUCAUUAAGCUCGGGCCUGGGACUGAACCCCAACCUGUGCAACUGUGUCCUGGACUUCCUGACAGGCCGCUCCCGGGUGGUGGAUGUAGGAAACAACACCUCGACUACGCUGAUCCUCAACACAGGGGACCCACAAGGGUGUGUGCUCAGCCCCCUUCUGUACUCCUUGUGUGGCCAUGCAUGCCUUCAGCUCAAUCAUCAAGUUUGCAGACGACACAGUAGUAGGCCAGAUUUCCAACAAUGACGAGGCAGCCUACAGUGAGGAGGUGAGGGCCCUGGCAGAGUGGUGCCAGGAAAACAAGCUCUCCCUCAACGUCAACAAAGAUUAAGGAAAUUAUCAUGGACUUCAGGAGACAGCAGAGGGAGCAUGCCUCCAUCAACAUCGACGGGGCCACAGCGGAGAAGGUGAAAAACUUCAAGUUCCUUGGCAUACAUAUCACAGACAAUCUGAAAUUGUCCACCCACACAGACAGUGCAGCGAGGAAGGCAAAACAGCGUCUUUUCAACCUCAGGAGGCUAAAGAAUUUCAGCUUUUCCCCUAAAGACCCUUUCAAACUUUUACAGAUUGAACCCUAACCCAUUGAGAUCAUCCUAUCGGGUUGUAUCGCUGCCUGGUAUGGCAACUGCACCGCUUGCAACCGCAGGGCUCUCCAGAGGGUGGUGCAGUCUGCCCAACGCAUCACCGGGGGCACACUGCAUGUCUGCCAGGACACCUACAGCAGCAGAUGUCACAGGAAGGCCAAAAAGAUCAUCAAGGACAUAAACCACCCGAGCCACGGCUUGUUCACCCCGCUAUCAUCCAAAAAGCGAGGUUAGUACAGGUGCAUCAAAGCUGGGACCAAGAGACUGAAAAACAGCUUCUAACUCAAGGCCAUCAGACUACCAUCACUAGCCGGCCUCCACCCAAUACCCUGCCCUGAACUUAGUCACUGUCACUAGCCGGCUACCACCCGGUUACUCAACCCUGCACCUUAGAGGCUACUGCUCUGUGUACAUAGACAUGGAAUCACUGGUUACUUUAAUAAUGUUUACUAAUUUCAUAUGUAUAUACUGUAUUCUAGUCAAUUACAUCCUAUUCAACUAUUGCUAUAUACUAUUCUAUCCGACGUAUUCUACAGAUAUAUAUAUAUAUAUAUAUAAUGUGUUUUCAAUAUAUAUAUAUAUAUAUAUAUAUAUCUGUAAAAUACGUAGGAUAGAAUAGUGUGUAUAUAUAUAUCUCUACAGAUAUAUAUUUAUAUUCCCGGACUCCGACAUUGCUCGUCCUAAUAUUUAUAUUUUUCUUGAUUUAAUUAUUUUACUUUUAGAUUUGUGUUUAUUGUUGUGAGUAGUUAGAUAUUACUGCACUGUUGGAGCUAGGAACACAAGCAUUUCGCUACACCCACAAUAACGUCUUCUAAAUAUGUGUAUGCACCAAUAAAAUUUUAUUUUAUUUAA